AGCAACCUCUUCUUCUCAAAAUAUGGAUACAUCAAUCGACGAACAUCACCUGAGGCAUCAACAAGAACUAGAAAAUCUGACGAUGACAACGCAACCUUUCAAAACAUUGAAGUUUUUCACUCUGGCUAUGAUAGAGUAUUUUAAGAAAUCAGUAAUUUAUCUACUGGCAAAAGGUGGUUGGCUGAUGCUUUUAAGCACACUGGUGGCUGUGCUUGGAAUUCUGCUUGUGACCAUUGAUGGCUCUCAUGAAAAGCACAUUGAGGAACUUGCUCAUUAUUUGCGGUUUGGAUUGUGGUGGAUUGCCCUUGGUGUUGCAUCUUCAAUUGGUCUUGGGUCUGGUUUGCACACUUUUGUCCUUUAUCUGGGUCCUCAUAUUGCCCUGUUCACAAUAAAAGCAAUGCAGUGUGGCCGAGUUGAUCUAAAAAGUGCUAUGUAUGACACAAUACAGCUCAAAAGAGGACCUUCUUGGCUUGACAAAGAUUGCCAUGAAUUCGGAGAUGCAGUGUUUCCAACAUCUCAUGGAUUGCGGGUUCCACUUAGUAGCAUAUUGCCACAGGUCCAGAUGGACGCUGUUUUAUGGGGAUUGGGGACAGCGCUUGGAGAGCUUCCUCCUUAUUUUAUCUCAAGAGCAGCACGUAUAUCAGGUGGUAAAUUGGAUGCCAUGGAAGAAUUGAAUGCUUCCUCAUCCGAAGAUAAUGGAAUCAUGGCUACUUACCUCAAUACAAUCAAAUGCUGGCUUCUGUCUCAUUCUCAACAUUUGAACUUCUUCACAAU
rnacentral:misc_RNA from 1 species